CAGUCCCUGCAGGGUCAGCAGGGCCCCAGAUGUCGAAGCGUCAGAGUACAGAAAUCAAAGAUGUUUGGUGCAGUGUGUGUGUCUGCUGGUGUGACAGGAAGACAGACCAGCAGCAAGGGAGCCUUCUGCAGAAUUCCACAUUAAACAGGAUGAAGAAUAGGUUGUUAGCAGACUGAGGUACUUGGGGCAACAUUUCGUACACAACAGGAGGGAGAAACGACUCCAGGUUGUCUUGUGGUAGAGGAGAUUUUGCCUUGCAAUUUUACAUACUUAUGCUACGUGGAAGGCUGGGUGGCGUGACUUCAGGAAAGAGACACACAGAGAGAGAGAGAAAGAGAGAAAGAGAGAACCCACCUACCUGUUUUGCAAAAGUCUCAUGAAUCAUCCCUUCCUGUGGUCCUGCUCCCUGAGAUCCUUUCACCGCUCACAGUGGGCUACUUCUAAGAGCGUGCCUGGCACAGGGUCACUGAGAGCAUAGUCUUAAUAAAACAAUGAUGGAUGCUUGUCUCUCUCA
rnacentral:lncRNA from 10 species